GCGGCUGUAGCUCAGUUGGUAGAGCGCUGGUUUGUGGUACCAGUGGUCGCGGGUUCAAAUCCCGUCGGUCGCC
rnacentral:tRNA from 1 species